rnacentral:tRNA from 1 species
GGGCCUAUAGCUCAGCUGGUUAGAGCAUCUGACUCAUAAUCAGGGGGUCCCUGGUUCGAGCCCAGGUGGGCCCA